CCUACGGGAGGCAGCAGUGGGGAAUUUUCCGCAAUGGGCGAAAGCCUGACGGAGCAAUACCGCGUGAGGGAAGAAUGCCUACGGGUUGUAAACCUCUUUUAUCAGGGAGGAACAAAAUGACGUGUACCUGAUGAAUAAGCAUCGGCUAACUCUGUGCCAGCAGCCGCGGUAAGACAGAGGAUGCAAGUGUUAUCCGGAAUUACUGGGCGUAAAGCGUCUGUAGGUUGUUGAACAAGUCAACUGUUAAAUCUUGAAGCUCAACUUCAAAAUCGCAGUCGAAACUGUUUGACUAGAGUAUAGUAGAGGUAAAGGGAAUUUCCAGUGGAGCGGUGAAAUGCGUAGAUAUUGGAAAGAACACCGAUGGCGAAAGCACUUUACUGGGCUAUUACUGACACUCAGAGACGACAGCUAGGGUAGCAAAUGGGAUUAGAUACCCCAGUAGUCCUAGCCGUAAACUAUGGAUACUAGAUGUUGAACAGAUCGACCUGUGCAGUAUUAAAGCUAACGCGUUAAGUAUCCCGCCUGGGAAGUAUGCUCGCAAGAGUGAAACUCAAAGGAAUUGACGGCUGAGAGUGCGACGACGACGACGAGGGAGAGG
rnacentral:rRNA from 1 species